UGGUGUUCUUGUUAAGCUGGAUCCACACCUACCCCAUCUCGAACUAGGUUGUGAAAAAGCUUAGGAGUUUUUUUGUACUUGUCGACAGCUCGUCCGGGAAGAAAAACUUAAUGCCAGGGA
rnacentral:rRNA from 1 species